rnacentral:rRNA from 1 species
GCUGUGAACUCGAAGAGUAGGGCGGGACACGUGGUAUCCUGUCUGAAUAUGGGGGGACCAUCCUCCAAGGCUAAAUACUCCUGACUGACCGAUAGUGAACCAGUACCGUGAGGGAAAGGCGAAAAGAACCCCGGCGAGGGGAGUGAAAAAGAACCUGAAACCGUGUACGUACAAGCAGUGGGAGCCUCUUUAUGGGGUGACUGCGUACCUUUUGUAUAAUGGGUCAGCGACUUAUAUUCUGUAGCAAGGUUAACCGUAUAGGGGAGCCGAAGGGAAACCGAGUCUUAACUGGGCGUUAAGUUGCAGGGUAUAGACCCGAAACCCGGUGAUCUAGCCAUGGGCAGGUUGAAGGUUGGGUAACACUAACUGGAGGACCGAACCGACUAAUGUUGAAAAAUUAGCGGAUGACCUGUGGCUGGGGGUGAAAGGCCAAUCAAACCGGGAGAUAGCUGGUUCUCCCCGAAAGCUAUUUAGGUAGCGCCUCGUGAACUCAUCUUCGGGGGUAGAGCACUGUUUCGGCUAGGGGGCCAUCCCGGCUUACCAACCCGAUGCAAACUACGAAUACCGAAGAAUGUUAUCACGGGAGACACACGGCGGGUGCUAACGUCCGUCGUGAAGAGGGAAACAACCCAGACCGCCAGCUAAGGUCCCAAAGUCAUGGUUAAGUGGGAAACGAUGUGGGAAGGCACAGACAGCCAGGAUGUUGGCUUAGAAGCAGCCAUCAUUUAAAGAAAGCGUAAUAGCUCACUGGUCGAGUCGGCCUGCGCGGAAGAUGUAACGGGGCUAAACCAUGCACCGAAGCUGCGGCAGCGACACUAUGUGUUGUUGGGUAGGGGAGCGUUCUGUAAGCCGUUGAAGGUGUGCUGUGAGGCAUGCUGGAGGUAUCAGAAGUGCGAAUGCUGACAUAAGUAACGAUAAAGCGGGUGAAAAGCCCGCUCGCCGGAAGACCAAGGGUUCCUGUCCAACGUUAAUCGGGGCAGGGUGAGUCGACCCCUAAGGCGAGGCCGAAAGGCGUAGUCGAUGGGAAACAGGUUAAUAUUCCUGUACUUGGUGUUACUGCGAAGGGGGGACGGAGAAGGCUAUGUCAGCCGGGCGACGGUUGUCCCGGUUUAAGCAUGUAGGCGGAGGUUCCAGGUAAAUCCGGUACCUUAUUAACGCUGAGGUGUGAUGACGAGGCACUACGGUGCUGAAGUGAUAAAUGCCCUGCUUCCAGGAAAAGCCUCUAAGCAUCAGGUAACACGAAAUCGUACCCCAAACCGACACAGGUGGUCAGGUAGAGAAUACCAAGGCGCUUGAGAGAACUCGGGUGAAGGAACUAGGCAAAAUGGUGCCGUAACUUCGGGAGAAGGCACGCUGAUAUGUAGGUGAAGCCCCUGCGGGCGGAGCUGAAAUCAGUCGAAGAUACCAGCUGGCUGCAACUGUUUAUUAAAAACACAGCACUGUGCAAACACGAAAGUGGACGUAUACGGUGUGACGCCUGCCCGGUGCCGGAAGGUUAAUUGAUGGGGUUAGCGGCAACGCGAAGCUCUUGAUCGAAGCCCCGGUAAACGGCGGCCGUAACUAUAACGGUCCUAAGGUAGCGAAAUUCCUUGUCGGGUAAGUUCCGACCUGCACGAAUGGCGUAAUGAUGGCCAGGCUGUCUCCACCCGAGACUCAGUGAAAUUGAACUCGCUGUGAAGAUGCAGUGUACCCGCGGCAAGACGGAAAGACCCCGUGAACCUUUACUAUAGCUUGACACUGAACACUGGUCCUUGAUGUGUAGGAUAGGUGGGAGGCUUUGAAGCGUGGACGCCAGUCUGCGUGGAGCCAACCUUGAAAUACCACCCUUUAAUGGCUGGUGUUCUAACGUAGACCCGUAAUCCGGGUUGCGGACAGUGUCUGGUGGGUAGUUUGACUGGGGCGGUCUCCUCCCAAAGAGUAACGGAGGAGCACGAAGGUUGGCUAAUCCUGGUCGGACAUCAGGAGGUUAGUGCAAUGGCAUAAGCCAGCUUGACUGCGAGCGUGACGGCGCGAGCAGGUGCGAAAGCAGGUCAUAGUGAUCCGGUGGUUCUGAAUGGAAGGGCCAUCGCUCAACGGAUAAAAGGUACUCCGGGGAUAACAGGCUGAUACCGCCCAAGAGUUCAUAUCGACGGCGGUGUUUGGCACCUCGAUGUCGGCUCAUCACAUCCUGGGGCUGAAGUAGGUCCCAAGGGUAUGGCUGUUCGCCAUUUAAAGUGGUACGCGAGCUGGGUUUAGAACGUCGUGAGACAGUUCGGUCCCUAUCUGCCGUGGGCGCUGGAGAAUUGAGGGGGGCUGCUCCUAGUACGAGAGGACCGGAGUGGACGCAUCACUGGUGUUCGGGUUGUCAUGCCAAUGGCACUGCCCGGUAGCUAAAUGCGGAAGAGAUAAGUGCUGAAAGCAUCUAAGCACGAAACUUGCCCCGAGAUGAGUUCU